UCCCUUGCCUUUUUGCAGCACGCUUUUCAUGUGUCAGAAGGCCAUUGUCCCUUGGUGGUUCUUGCUUCUUUGGGCUUUCCAGCUUUCCCAACACAGCCUCUGAAAAUUUAACUAUAUUUAAAAAAAAGGAGUCUUACCUCUUUCUAACUGGUCCAGCCUUCCUGGGAGCGAUGAAGAUUUUGGGUGAAGCUUCAACAGAACCCUUGGCACUGCUCCUUUGUGCUCAGCAAUAUUGCACCUCUCAGUCCCCCUGCUCUUUCACAAGUGUUUUCUUAAGCAUCAUUCAGAGAUGACCACAACACAUGGAGUGUGUACCUGGACUCACCAGGAGGAAUGACAGCAAGUCUGGGUUUGUACAAGUGCUUCACCACCCUGUUGGCAAACACCCAGUGGGAAGGGUCUGUGGCUGGCUGUUUGAACCCUUGAACUGGUGACUGGUGUGUCCUCUGUUGUUCACAGGGCCAGAGCUCUGAGGUGAGUCCAGGGAUGAGACUGAAGUGUAACUCAGGCUCUACACUGCACUUCUGAAAAGCCUGCUGGCCAUCCGAAUCACUUGGGUGGUUGACAAGGCCUGAUCUUCACAACACAUGCAUCCUUUGAUCUCUCCAAAAGUCAUAUCCUGGCUCAGCAAGCCUGCAGGUUUGUCCCAGCUUUGGCCACACUCUCUGAGCAGCUCCAGGAGUCACUGAGUUCAUUUGGUAGUCACCAUGAACUUAUCUGUGAUGCCUGUCAGUUUGUUGGCCAGCAGCUACCCCAGCUGAUGUCUGUCCAUCCUGUGGCUGCUAUCCCAUCUUUGUGAACGGGCAAAAUGGAAAACCUCAAUAUAAAGGGUAUGGGUAACAAAGGAUGAGUUGUCCUUCUAGUUCUGGGGGGCUUUAGUUCCUCUCUCCUGGUGGUGACUGGGUGGGAGACGAAGGACAAGAGCAGGGCAUUCCCUUUCCUGUGUGUGCUGAGGGCUGGUUCUGAUUUUGGGAUUUGAGGAAGGGUAUUUUUGCAGGAAGCAUGGCAGUUUGCGUGGGCUGGGGUUGUUUGUCUCCUAUGAAUUGCUUUGCCCGGAGCGGUGAGGCUGCUGUUUGAGGGGGUGCAGCAAUCACUGUUCCCUGGUGUGAUGGGUUUGUCAUCCACGGUAGUGCUGUUCCUGGGGUGUGUAUAUUUGUCAGCUGAAAUUUUUCUGCAAUUUCCUUGACAGGAGCAGUGAGUGACACACAUUCCCUCAGGAGGUAUUUCCAUGUUUUUACUAUUCUUCAGGCUUCUGUGACAUUUCCCAAGUCCAGUUGUUGGAGCCUCAGGUUCAAUCAUCUACACUGCCCAGGACCACAUCCCAGCAGGGAUAAUUUGGCCCUUCAGCAGUGAAUACAUUGACUUCUGCAGCUCAUGGUAUGCACAGUUUGGUAUGCCCAUGGUACGUGCCUUAAAACCUACUCUGAAAUCCUCCAUCGUUUGGUGCUCAGUGGCACCGGGUCCAGCAUAAUUUUUCAUUCCUGUGACUCCCAACAAUGGCCUGAAAAUGAAGGUUAAAAAGAAAACUAAAACUGCUUUUGCCUUCUUUCCAGGUAGAGGUGCAUACGAGACUGAAAUUUUCAAGCUUUCAGUGAAACACCAAAUAUGUGUGUACAAUUCCAGGAAUGCCGGCUAUCGGGAAAAGCACCGCUGACUGGGAGUUUCCUGGUAAAAUCGUGACAGUUGACAGCACUAAGCAGAUAACACAGGCUAUAUAAAACAAACUGCUUCUUGUGCUGGAGGGAAGUACCAGAAGGGGCUCGUGGUGUUGCAUCUUCACGCAGCUGAGAAGCAGGAAUGUCUUGUGAGCAGCACCUUGUGGCUCACAGAGCUGCAAACAAAAUGACCCAAACACAGAGUCCUGUGGCAAAAGUCCCAGACAUGGAGUUUUGGGGCAAAAAGUUGCAUUCCUCUUGAAAUGGCAAAAGUGGGUGGUUUCCCUCUCUGUCUUUUUGAAUUUUGAAAAUUGUACAUGGAAAAUAAGUAGUUUCUAGAGAUUGAAAACCUGGUUUUAGAGCAUUUUCAAGAACACAUUUUGGAAAAGGAACCACGACAACUGUCAUUAAAAACAACCCCAACAGUGA